rnacentral:lncRNA from 1 species
GCGGCGGCGGCGGCCGCGGCGGCGGCGGCGGCGGCGGCAAGUGCACGGGGUACGCCCGUCCCGCUCCGCAGGGGCAGAGGGGGAGGGGAUGAAGCUGCCCGGCGCCAUUUUGCUUGUGGGCUGCCGCCCGCCGUUGCCUCUCCGCGGAGGCUCGAAGAUAGCAAACUGGAGGCGGUGAGGGGGACGGAAUCUCUGUCUUUCUGACAACAGAUGCAUUCAACAAUCCACCGAAGGUUUGAGGAAGUGUCGGUAUUCGGUGGGACUGGUUCUUUCCCCCUUUCCCCCAGUGGCCCUCAAGUCUGGAUAUAGGUGAGCUUGGGCAUGCCAGUAUUGGGUGCACGAACAAGGACAGCAGGGCUUGGGAACGAACUCCCUCCCGUCACCCUCCGAAAGCGAUACACCUUCUCCCCCUCCCAAACAACCCCAGUCCCGUCUCCCCGUUCCUCUCCCCCUCCUCCCCCAGCCCAGUCUGGCCUCCAGCGCUGGGUGAACCCGGUUGGGGUGUCACUCGACGCCCACUAGGGGCUGAGGAGGCUCCAGUGCGCAGGCUCCGGGCACCGGAUAAAAGCGGAGCUGGCGAGUCUAGUGCUGUCUCGAUGGAGGAGCAAGAAACGGAAGAGGUCGGGGGGAGAAGCAGCCGGAAAAAUGCAGCCACCGUCAACGCCGCCUCCCUGCCACCGUGCUUCGGGGUAAAAAGCUGCCGUUGCCGUCGGUGCAGUUGCCGUCGCUGCCUCCUAUACUUCUCUUGGCCUCGGGGAAGGAUUUCCCCACCGGUGGGACAAUGUGCGGGGAGGGGAGUGGGAAUUCCUUUAUAUGGCGGUGAUUAAACGAGGGAGGGACAGACAGUGAUCUCGAAGAAAAAAGGGGGAGACCAAAGAAUAAAAGAAGGGUUUCCCCACUAAAAUGACACGGCGAUUCCGGCUCUUGUUUUGGGGGUCUUUCCCCGAAAUGGUUUCCGUCUUCCCCUUGCCCCGCAGCGACCCAGAGCGCUGGGGGAAGCGGAGUGGGGAGAGGCAGAGGCGGUCUCGGCAGCCAAUCAGCGCCUGAUGUGUCCUGUCGGGCGCGUCGUGGUUGGCUGGCGAUGACCUCAUCCUGCAGCAGCGGGUGGGGCCAAAGCCGUAGGGGGAGGCUGUUGCAAAGGUAGAGAGGGAGAAGUGACGAUGGUGAUCGUUGCUGCCGCGGCCGAUAUGGAACCCAAGCAGUGGCGAAGGGAAUCGCAAGGCUCUUCCCUGACCAUUUUCUACUGUCCCUGCGCGAGGUGAGGGCCCCGGCUCGGCCUCUGCAAAACUUUGGGGCGCUGGCGCGGAGGAGGAGACAGGAUUUCUCCCGUGACUUUUGUAACUGCGUCAGGGCAAGAUGGCGCUGGGUCUCUUUGGGGCGCGGGGGGAGAGGCACGUCCACCGCCGCAGCGCAUGUGACCGGGCUGCAUUCCUGUGGGGUUUGGCUCCGACCCAGGCCGGGGCGGGGGAGGGGACAGGGCUUGGGCGGAGGAGACUGUGGUGCGGUCGGCGUUGGCGGCCUGAAGAGGAAGAGAUGACUGUUGGAAAGCGUUCCCCUCCCCCAUACGGCAGAACAGCUGCGGCUCCCAGGGGAAAGCCCCCGCAGGACAGUCCUCGUGGGGUGUGACGGCUGUUGGUGGAGAAGGUUUGGCGCCCUAUUUUCUUAUCUGCCUUUCUCCCCGCAAAGUAUACUUAUGUAAGGUGGUAGUUCCCUGACGUGGGACUCGGAAUCAACUAGGAGUCCUUGAGGGCCUCUGGGAGGCCUAGCGAGGGGUAGACCAGCUUCUGGGGGUACAACGUCAAGGAGGAUCGAUUACUUUCUGAGGAAACAGUUUCUCAGAUUGAAAUAGAAAAGUAUUUCCAAAGUUUGGAAACAAAUUUAAAGGUGUAAAUAACACCCAGGAACACUUUAAUUGCUUUGAAAAGGCAUAAGCAGCCAUCUGAAUUUAAGGGCCCUUUUCAGACUCUUCCUUCCUCCUGUGAUUCCUGUUCUUUAUUUCAGUUUUCUGUCUGUACAUCCCUUAAGAAUAUAGUUUUGUCGGUGGGAUUCGCUCUUUUGUGCCCAGGCUGGAGUGCAGAGGCGAGAUCUCGGCCCACUGCAACCUCCGCCUCCCCGGGUUCAGGCGAGUCUCCUGCCUCAGCCUCCCAGGUAGCUGGGAUUACAGGCGCCCACAACCACACCCUGCUAAUUUUUUCUAUUUUUAGUAGAGACGGGGUUUCACCCCAUUGACCAGGCUGGUCUCGAACUCUCGAGAUCCGCCCGUCUCAGCUUCCCAAAGUGCUGGGAUUAUAGGCAUGAGCCACCGCGCCGGGCCUGCUUUUUUUUUUUUUUUUUUUUUUUGCACUGGGCAUUAGUAAUACGGAAUAAAAGCCGUGUUUUAAACUGUAUUAAGUUGUAAGACUUUUCAGUACUUUCAAGUCUGCUUUCUUUCUGUUGCCCUUUUGUAGUUUUUAAAAAUAAAAGAUGCAAUUAUAAGCACUUCCGGUGAAUAUUAUUCCUUAAGGUUCCUGCAUCAUCAUGAAAUUUGAAGCACUUUUAUAGUAGUACAAACUAUACUUUUAGCUUUUGAAAUCUCGAUAGGAGAAAAUAUCCAGCAGUUUUAGGGGCUAUUUUGGCAUAUUCAUUAAGGUAGACUAAGUUUGUUUUUCGUUUUUCCCACUUAGCCAAACUAGUUAAAGUAGUCAAAACUAGCAAAUAAUUUUUAAAGGGCUUCUCCUUUUGGGUGGUGUAGAGGGUGGGGAGUUAUUCAACAAACACAUUUGCAGCCAAAAUCUGGCCUACUUCUUGGCAGAGCGCUUAUACUUGGUGCUACGAGAAAAUGAUUGCUGGACCUGAAAAGAACCUGAGGUCAAGGUUGUGCUAUUUCCUUAAGUCUUAGUUGUAGGCUCUUGGUAGUUUGAAAACAAGAUUGGGUUUUUAAUUCAUUUGUGUAUCCUUAAAUCCUCACUAGUUUUUGUGGAUUUCUUUUUUCAGUUAUAAGCAACUGAAUGUGGAUGAGCUAUAAAUAUUUAGUACAAAGAAUGUAAUUUGUCCACUCUGAAUAGAAAGUAAGCAUUAAGAACUCUUGAAUGUCUUCAAGGGUUACUUUGUUACGUGUAAGAUGUCUCCCCUUCCUUCAUAGCAGUUUUUAUUCCUGCUUAAAAAGGGAACUAAAUAUGAAGUCAGUAGAUUUUAAGGUAAUUUUCAGAAUGUUUCUACUUUCACCGUGCCUUAAUAAGGAAAAAAGGCCAUUUUCCAAGCGAAUGGAAACACCCUUUCCUUGUUUUGUGCCUUUAAUCAGCGUGUACCUUCAUUGUUCCUGAUUGCCAAAUCCACGAACUUCUUGAGCUCUCAAUUUUUCUUGACUUUCCUAUGGCAUUUUAAAUACUGUUCAUACUUGGAAUUACUUUUCUUUGACUGCCUUCAUACAUUCAUAUAUUCUGCCUGGGCAAUUUCAUUUGGGCCUAUUAUGUUCCAAUACCUCUCCAAUUUUCACCUCCAUCUUAGCUCUGCCAGCUUCAGUGCCACAGGUAGGCAAUGUAAAAGUUUACUGGGGACCACAGGCUUUCUGAGCUCAAUAAAAAUACUAAGCUUGGUACUUGUUUUUUAAGAAUUUUCUUCCCCCAUCCCCUCACAAAGAUUAUUUGAGUAAAUUACACCCCAACCUCCUUUUCCUUGUUUUUGUUGAAAUUAUUGUCUCUUAACUUUGGAACAUUGCAGUUGCGGUAAGCUUACUAGGUUCACAUAGCAUAUCUUCUGGUGUGUUAAAAUUAAAAUGCACACCAUCUCAAAAGUGCUAUGCCAUUUCAUACCUUUGUGCUUUUGUCCUGCUACCUGGAGUGCGUCUUUCUCACUUCUGGAUAAUACAAUUUGAACCUUUUCUUUGCCUCUUGAAACUGCAAAAUCCCUACUCGCAAGUAAAUGUGUCAUUCUUUAUGUUGAUAACCCAGCCUAGUGCUUGACACUUGAUGGGCAUUCAGGUAUACAUGGUUUUUUAGAGAUUGAUAAGAUUAACUGUGCAGUCUAUAAACUGUAAAUACUGGCUUUUAAACUCUUUUAAAGGAGCUCUUUUGAUAAACAAUUUGGAUAAGAGAUGAAAGGUUAGGGAGGCUCCAGGCAAGGCAGAAGACUGCUGAUGGCCCAGAGAUAGUUCUGCCCCAAAAAGGUGGGAAGAAGAAAAAAACUGAGCUGGAUAUUUUUAAGGAAAUAUAUUUUAUAGCAUUUUUCUUUAAUGCCUAGUUUUGCUGCAAGCACUGAAGUUUAUCCUGCAUUUGUAUUUCUUAUUUGAAAAAGAAAUGGCCUUUGGGGUUUGUUUUGUUUUUUGUUCCUUUGUAAGCACACUGCAAAAGCGGCGUUGUCAGCGUUGUCUUUUGAGGUAUCAAACGUGCUUUCAGUCAGCAAAUAUCUUGUAUAUAGUACCAUUCCUAAUAAACUAAAUUGGUUAUCAACCUAAUACAAACGGUACUUCAUACAACUUAAGCCUAAACUAGAUUAGAUUAUGUAGAAACUUAUUCUUAGAGAAUAUAUCGCCUUAAUAUUUCUUAUCCUGAAAAGAGUAUUUCUUAAGUGCCCCUCUCAAAGUAUAUCGAUUAAUAUUUGUCUCAAAUUUAAAACUAUAUCCUGGUUUUUCCCUUACAGUUGUUUAGCAAGUAAAUGUUUACUUACUAAUUUAUUUUCUCCCAGACUUCAUUCUACCAGUUUAAGCUUAGCUCAGUUUUGUUUUUUGGUUUUGAGAAGGAGCUUUGCUCUGUCACUCAGGCUGGAGUGCAGUGGUACGUUCUCAGCUCACUGCAGCCUCCGGCUCCUGGGUUCAAGCGAUUCUCCUGCUUCAGUCCGUGAGUAGCUGGAACUACAGGCGCACACCACCACGCCCAGCUAAUUUUUGUAUUUUUAGUAGAGACAGGGUUUCACCAUGUUGGCCGGGCUGGUCUUGAACUCCUGACCUCAGGUGAUCUGCCUGCCUCAGCCUCCCAAAGUGCUGGGAUUAUAGGCGUGAGCCACCGUGCCCAUCCUAAACUUAGCUCAGUUUUAAUGCUACUUCCAUUUCUUUAUGUAUAGUUUGAUGUAAGAAUAACAGUUGGAAGUAAGGAUUUAGGAAUAACAAGAGUUUGGGAUUUUUGUUUUUUUAAUUAGCAAGGUAAUGCCACAUCAGGUCAUUAGUGACAUUAAUGAGAGAACAGGGGAAUUAUUGGAAAGUCUUGACUUAAGGCCAGACGAGAAAUCCUUAACUGCUAGUGUGACUUCCCUCCCCACAAAAGAGAAUGCUCUCGUAAUACACCGAACUGUUGGAUGCUGUUGUAUAUACUUUAUAUAUAAUCUUACCCAAGGUGGCAGAGCAUUAACUUUAACAUCUGUCUCCCUGACCUCACCAGAGUUCAUAAUCUUUGCCCUACUUACACUGUCUGAAGGAUGACUUGGCCUUUUUUUUUUUUUUUUUUUUUUUAAUUGAGACAGAGUCUUGCACAGUUGCCCAGGCUGGAGUGCAGUGGCACGAUCUCGGCUCACGGCAGCCUCCACCUCCUGGGUUCAAGUGAUUCUCCUGCAUCACCCUCCCCAGUAGCUGGGAUUACAGACGCUUGUCACCGCGCCUGGCUAAUUUUUGUAUUUCGGGGUUUCGCCAUGUUGGCCAGGCUGGUCUCGAACUCCCCACCUCAGGUGAUCCGCCCAUCUUGGCCUCCCAAAGUGCUGAGAUUACAGGCAUGAGGUGUGGCACAGGACAGAGAAAGACUUACUUUAAAACAUACCUGUCUUCAACCCAGAAGAGACUGGCUUUUAGAGCCCUCAAUGUAGCAAGAAGAGCCUGAAUCAGAGCAGGAGUGAUAAAGAAGGAAUCUAAGUUAUUACAGAAACAUCCGUAAUUGUUGCCUGGGUGGGUAUAAGGAAGAAGAAGGAAUUGACUUUCAAGAAAAAUAAUUGACAUUUGAUAGUCUUCACAGAUAAAAGCCAAAACAGGGUAGAUUCAGUCUUAAUAGGAGACAAAUUUAGCAAGAAAGCUGAGAUCUUGGGUCGGUCUACAUUUUAGGCCAAGGAAAAGGAACUGAUUGCAUUUGUUUUUUAAGAUAGAUUAUACGCCAGUGCAUAACAUAUUUAACCUAAGUCUGAUUAGCUUUAUAAUAAUUUUUAAAUUAUUCAUAACUAUCCUAAGCAAUACCUUUUAUUGUUAGAUUAUUAUGUAAUGCCCACAAAUGAUAGAUAGCAUUUGAAAGUAAUUGCUGGCUGAUUAUAGGCAUGGUGGCUUAUGCCUAUAAUCCCAGCACUUUGGGAGGCCAGGGUUGGUGGAUCACAUGAGGCCAGGAGUUCAAGACCAGCCUGGCCAACGUGGCAAAACUCUGUCUCUACUAAAAAUACAAAAUAAUUAGCUGGGCGUAGUGGUGCACAUCUGUAAUCCAGCUACUCAGGAGGCUGAGGCAUGAGAAUUGCUUGAAUUGGGGAGGUGGAGGUUGCAGUGAGCUGAGAUCGCACCACUGCAUUCCAACCUGGGGGACAGAGUGAGACCCUGUCUCAAAAAAAAAAAAAAAAAAGGAAUUGCAAGUAGCCUGUAAUCCCAGCACUUUUAGGAGUCCGAGGCAGGAGGAUCACUUGAGACCAAGCUGGGCAACAUGAUGAAACCCCUGUCUCUACAAAUAAUUUUUUUAAAAUAUUAGCCAGGUGUCUGGCACACGCCUGUAGUCCCAUUUACUUAGGAGGCUUAGGUGGGAGGAUCACCACUUGAGGCCAAGAGAUCAAGAUCAGCCUGGGCAACAUAGCAAGACCCCCACCUAUAGGAAAAUAAAUCCGAGCGUUCCAAGUGUUCAGCUAUUCACCCACUUUAGGUUUCCACCUUCCUUAGAAAGUAGAGUAGUAUAAAUUAUUUCUGAAAUUUGUGAAACGAUGUACCACAUAACCCUCUCAAACCAGGUUGCUACUACUUCCAAUGACUUCAUUGAUAAGGGGCAAAGUAACUCGAAUGAUGGGUGAGCUCAUGACAUGGUUUAGCUCCGUAUCAAACUCUGGAUUUGGGAAAAUUGCUACUGAUUUAUUAAACACUUGAAUUCUUAUAUGCUAGGUCAGAAUUUGGCAACUAAACUCUCAGAAAUUUGUAAACUUCCUUUUUACAUAGAAAAGUGAAUCCAGGCUGGGUAUGGUGGCACGUGCCUGUAAUCCCAGCUGCUCAGGAGGCUGAGGCAUGAUAAUUGCUUGAACCUGGGAGGUGGAGGUUGCAGUGAGCCCAAGAUUACACUGCUGUACUCCAGCCUGGGCAACAGAGGGAGGCUCUGUCUCAAAAAAAAAAAAAAAAAAAAAAAAAGUGAAUAUACUGUACUGUAAAGCCUGUGCACCUCUUCAUCACACAUAAUUGCCUGUACAUUAUGCCCAGUGCCUGGCCCCUAUUGGAUUUCUGACAAGCUUUAAUGUUGUUAGGUUAAGAGAGAACCUGUUCCUCAAGUUUAGUCUUAUCUCUAGUAUUUAAAUUUUUCAUGAAGGAAGGCUGUGCUAAGGCGAUACUUCAUUCCUGAAGAACACUUACUUAAAUAAGUAAUGUUCAAUUAAUUUUCCUCAUUCUAUGAAAAACUUGAAAAGGCAACAAAAAUAUUCACUAUUCUCUGGUUCAUUUGAUAACAAUAUUGUGGUAGUCUAGGCAUCUCUCCCAUGUCCCAAGCACAGCUUAUCUGACCACAUCUAUACAACAGACAUUCUGUAGCGACUCUCUUUGUUCUAUUCCAUGCUCCUACUUUAUGGCCAGUGAAAGGGCAAAUGGAAGUCAAAAGGGUAAGAGGACACGUUAGAUAGCUUUGAUUGAAGCAUUCUUUUAGAAGUUAAAUGACUGAAAAAGGUUUUACAAAUGACAUCGAGUCAAGGGUUCAUCUGAAAGUAUCUAAAAGUUAACUAGUUCCCUUUCUCCACAAACUCUGCCCAUGUAGGUAAGUUUUAUUUUUCUGAGGAAUAAGAAACAUAUGCAGUUAUUUGCAUUUAUAAUAUUUUGUGAAAGUUCUGUAUUUUCUUGUUUUUUUUGAGACGGAGUCUCUGUCACCCAGGCUGGAGUGCAGUGGUGCAAUCUCAGCUCACUGCACACUCUGCCUCCUGGGUUCACACCAUUCUGCUGCUUCAGCCUCCCGAGUAGCUCGGACUACAGGCGCCUGCCACCAUGCCCGGCUAAUUUUUUGUAUUUUUAGUAGAGAUGGGGUUUCACCGUGUUAGCCAGGAUGGUCUCGAUCUCCUGACCUUGUGAUCUGCCCGCCUCGGCCUCCCAAAGUGCUGGGAUUACAGGCGUGAACCACCGCGCCCGGCCAAAAGUUCUGUAUUUUUAUGAGCUCCAGGUGGUCUUAUAUAACCCAUAGCAUUUGAUUCCUAAGAAUACAUCCUCUUGGCCAGGCGCAGUGGCUCACACCUGUAAUCCCAGCACUUUUGGAGACCAAGGCGGGCAGAUCACAAGGUCAGGAGUUUGAGACCAGCCUGACUAACAUGGUGAAAUCCCGUCUCUACUAAAAAUAGAAAAAUUAGCUGGGUGUGGUGGCGCACGCCUAUAAUCCCAGCUACUCAAGAGGCUGAGGCAGGAGAAUUGCUUGAACCCGGGAGACAGAGGUUGCAGUGAGCCGAGACGCGCCACUGCACUUCCGUCUGGGCGACAGAAGGAAACUCCGGCUCAAGAAAAAAUAUAUAUAUAUCCUCUUAAAACUCCUUUGCUUUUAUGCUAAUACUCUUAACUAGUUGAUUUCUUCAGCUUCUUAAAUGUUGGAUUUCCCAGUGUUGUGUCCCCACCAAUGUUACGUUAUCCAUUUUACUAACUGCAAUAAUCAAUUCCCAUACCUUUACCUGUCGAUGACUCUAGAAUUUGUAAUCUCUGAACUCAACUGAAACUACUAAAUACAUUACUUGUCCUAUGAAGUACCUCAAACUAAACAAAUUUAAAACUGACCUUGGCCGGGCACGGUGGCUCACACCUGUAAUCCCAGCACUUUGAGAGGCUGAGGCGGGCAGAUCACUUGAGGUCAGGAGUUCGAGACCAGCGUGGCCAGCAUGGCGAAACCCCAUCACUACUAAAAAUACAAAAAUUAGCCAGGCAUGAUGGCACGUGCCUGUAAUCCCAGCUAUUUGGGAGGCUGAGGUGAGAGAAUUGCUUGAACCUGGGAGGUGGAGGUUGCAGUGAACCCAGAUCACGCCACUGCACUCCAGCUGGGGCAACAGAGCAAGACUUUGUCUCAAAACAAAACAAAAAAAACCUUUCUUUAGAUAAUGGCUAAAACUAUUUUCUAGCUUCAUAAAAUCAAACACUUUUCCAAAAAUAUGUUUCCAGAAAAAUCUUUUUAACUUAAAAAACUGUUCAUUGACCAGAGAUUUGAGGGUCGAGUCAAAACACACUGUGACGUGCCAGGUCCUUCAUCUGACCCCUGCUUUAACCUCCCAAAGUGUUAGGAACAUCAUGAACGCUGCUUGGAACUAGAAUAAUCCAAGUUUGAAUACCACUUCCACUUCAAGGAAGACUUAGGUAGUUUGCUUUCUGGGACUCAGUUUUAUAAUCCAUACAGCAGGUAAAAUAUUAACUAUAUAAUGGCGUUAAGAAUUAAAUUAGAUAUAAAACCUUUCAGGAGCAAUUAUUGAUUUGUAAUCCCAAUUUUUUUUGGUCCAGAAAAUAAGACAUUCCCUUCUAUUUGUUAACAUGUGUUCCUAUCAUGCUGUCAUGUUCAUGUUCCUCUUUUCCAUUAGUAUAUGAGAUCUUGAUAGACACAAUGUUUUUCAUCUUUAUGGCUGAAGUGCACAGUUCCUGGCAUGUAAUAGGCAUGCAGUUUUGUUGCACAAAUGAAUAGAUAAUCUGCUUUGAUGCCAGAUGCCUGAAAAUGUUGCCCAUAGUAUGUGUUUAUUACAAUAGAAAGUCCCUUGAAUAUAAAAUUUGAUGCAAAUGGUCUGGUUGAUUCUAUACCAUCAUCUUGUAAGACUUCAGAGGGUUUUCCCACACUUUUCAAAAACAUGUAUCUAUUUUGUUGCAAGCUAGAAGGACUAGUCCCUACUCUAUUCAUUUAUAAUCUAGUUUGGGAUUAAGCCACAUCAGUAAGUAACCAAGUACUGUAAGCAUUCAGCCAGAUAUCCCAGUUCAUGGGGUAAUGUGUUUCACAGAGGAAAUAGAAUUUUUGGAUUAGGAGGCAGAUAGUUCUGGGUUUCAUUAGGGAAAGGGUGGGGCAGUAGAGUACAACAUAUUUGCAGUCAGCAUGGUUUUAUGUGUAAAGGCAUAAAACAGUAACAGAGACAAUGUUUUAAGUAAACCAAUUUCACUGGGCUUGUGUGACCUAGUACAUUGAGAGAUGAGACUGGAAAGGGGGCGGAUUGGACCACAUAAUUUUAUUUUAUUUUUAAUUUGGAGUCUUUUUUUCUGUGAGUCUUAGGCCACUACUUUCUCUAUUUUGUUUCUUUUAUAUUUAAGGAAACAGUCUCAGGGAAAUGACUGACUGAGUCGCAGUGUAAUGGGGGACAGAGCCAGGCCUGAACCCCUAAAUAUUGCUGUUCUACCUCUAAGUUGAAAAUAGGACAGUCAGUAAAGAGUCUGUUGUAUACUGGGUUAUAAGAUCUCAUUUCUAAUCUAACUUGGAUGGAAUCAAGAUUAGAAAAAGUACUUGAUUCUUACAUUUUUUUCUUCCUUGUUGUACAUAAAAAGAGAUUGGCCUGGCACAGUGGCUCAUGACUAAUCCUAGCACUUUAGGAGGCAGAGGUGGGUGGAUCCCUUGAGUCUAGGAGCUCAGAAUCAGCCUGGGCAACAUCGUGAAACCCCGUGUCUACUAAAAAUACAAAAAUUAGCUUGGCGUGCUGGCAUGCUCCUGUAAUCCCAGCACUUUGGGAGGCUGAAGCAAGCGGAUCUCUUGAACCUGGGAGGCAGAGGUUGUAGUGAGUUGUGAUCACGCCACUGCACUCCAGCUUGGGCAACAGGGCAAGACCCUGUCUCCAAAGAAAAGAAAUGAAAUGAAAUUAGGAGCAAGCAUGAGUUUUAAGUGUCAGACUUCCUUUCCCAGUACACUCACCUACUACAGGCUGCAUGAUCUUAUUACUUCACUGAACUGUUUCCUUAUCUGUAAAUUGUUUGAUUAUCUACAAAUGUGUAGCUUGCUACCUGACAGCAUUAGAUAUUGGAUAAUUGGUUGUCAUUGCUAUUAAUAAACACGGACUUAGAGAGUUCUUGAAGUUUUAGUUUUAUGCUGAGAAUCCAUGUAACACUGGCAAUCUGUGUCUAUACCUGUAUCUAUAGCAAAAGCCAGAAUUUACCACAAAUUUUGCUGUUGUAUCAGGAAAUACAUCUUGACAACUGAUACUUAUUCUUAAUAUUAUUAUUCUGUUAUUUCUUAUUCUAGGCCCCAAAAACUUUUAUUAAAAUGCUUCAAAUUUUAGGUUAGCAUUUUUGUUGAUGUUUGGACAUCUUAAAUUCAUUAUACUCAUGCAAAAUUUUUUUUUUUUUUUUUUUUUGGAGACAGGGUCUCUGUCACCUGGGCUGGAAAAUAUAUCUUUAUAGUUUUAUGCACAUUUGGCAAUCAGCAGAAAUAAUAAAUUGUUGUACUAUGUCUAUGCUUUGCUAUCUUUAUGUGACCAAGACAUUACUGUGAAACUGAAUACUAUCUGGCCACAUAUAUAACCAUUGCUAUUAAGAAAGUUAUGAUUGUGACUUGGAAAUAGUCAUAUGGAGACAGUUCUGAUUUAAUUCCCAGGUAACUUUCAUAUUCUCACCAUUUUGCAGUGUGCAUUUCAAAAUAAUUUUUCAUAUCAAUUUGUAGAUGUGGGAACACAUCGAUUAGAAAGCUGAAGCUAACUUAUUCUCAGAUAACAAUCAUUUAAUUGUAACAUUGAAUUUUAAGAGGAAAAAUACAGUAUGCUGUCUUGUCUUUUUCUGCCCUUUCUUUUCCAUGUAUGGCUGGUUCAUGUUUUGCUUUAAUAACAUUUUUUGCCUGGGCAAAUGUCCAUAUUAUACAUUCUGAUCACUUUAAUUCCAUCACCCUUGAAAUUUUAAAAAGCAAACGUUUGAUUUAGUGGCUUUUAAGUUAAAAAAUAUUUAUCGACAUCUCUCAUCAUUUUAUCAGCUUCGUUGGUACUUAACAUGGUAGUUCUACUUUAUGAAAGAAGCCCGUCACUAAAAUACAACAUUCAAAAUUAAAACAUAAAUUUUCAUAAAUUUCACAGUGCUUUUUUGUGUUUGUUCUAGAAACCGUAUCUCACUCUGUGGCCCAGGCUAGAGUUCAGUGGCAGGGCAGUCAUAGCUCAUUGUAACAUAGAGCUCCUGGGUUCAAGCCAUCCUCCACCGUCAUCGUCUCCAGUAGCUAGGAAAGGCAUGUGCCACCAAGCCUGGCUAAUUUUUAAAAGAAUUUUUGUAGAGGUGGGGUCUUGCUGUGUUGCCCAGGCUGGCCUGAAGCAGUUUUCCUGCCUUGACCUCCCAAAGUAUUGGGAUUACAGGCAUAAGCCACCACACCAGGCUAUAAGAGUGCAUUUUUAAAAAAGAUAAAAAUGUCUAAGCCCUGUUUGAGUUGUAAGGUGUCAUCAGAUAUGAUGCUGGGUAUAUCAGCUUAUUCCUUUCUUCUGAAGGUUGUUUUUAUGCUAUCUUAAUGAACCAUCAAAGGUUCUGAAAUCAAACAUUUUGAAAAUACUUGACUUACGGCCAUUUUAUAUCAAGUGUAUAUGCUUUUAUUGUUUGUGUGCUUAAAACUGGUUAUUUUCAUGAAUGUACUUUCUAUGGAUCGCUAAAGGUCAGAACCAGCUAAGAAUGAAAAUGAGUACCAUUUAUACUUACUGUCAGCUGAACACUUGCAUUAUUUUUACCUUUAUGGUGUAUCUUACAGAAAUUAGUUUUUAGGUCGUGGUUUCAUACAUAGCAGAGCAGCUCCCUCCCUGCCAUCUAUUCAAAGUCAGCCCUGGACACAGGGUUUGUCCACCCCCUCGCGCAUGCCUGGCGUCUCCGUUGCCAUCCGUCUCUCUUACUUCCUCCCUCUCAAACUCCCUCCCAACACCCCUGGGGGCCUCCUUCCCUGGUCCACGCUUGCCCACCCUCUCCGGGAUCCCAGAGCAAGUGGCGGGUAUCUCGUCGAAAAGCGCCCGUCUCCAUCCGAUGCCUUUCCAAGCUGGCGGUGCUCAGGGGCAUGGUGCCAUGCUGGGGGUGGCCGAGGUUGCAGGGGUGCCCAUGCUUGGUGUCCCACCUCUCUAGUUCUAGUCUCCUCCCCCAACCCUACUAGGGGCUUGUCCCUGGUCUGGGACAGGCUUGGAAAGUGUGGCGCGAGUAUGGCUGAGGCGUGGUUGUUUGAGGGUGUGACCCUGCAGUCCCUGUCCCAGGGAUAGGGGUGGCCGUGUGGCCCAGGGGUGGCCGAAAGUGGCACUGGGGUCCAGCCCUCUCCCACUCUGUGGUGGAGUGGGGCAGUCACUGCCCUUGAGCCCUUUUAAAAAAAAAAAGAAAUUAGUUUUUAGUGAUAGGAGAGAGAAUCUUUUUGCCAAUGAGGUAGUUGAGAUAAAUUGAGAUAACUCAGAUAUAGGUACUAUAUUUUCCUGGGUAUUAUCAAAUUUGAUCUUUUUUUAUCUAUCAAAUUGGAUUCAUAUGAAUCAAUUUAUUCAAAUAAGUGGUUACAUUAAGUUUUUUUUUUUGUUUUCAGUACUUUAUCCUGUGUCUUGCUCUCAUGGGUAAUCCUUAACGUAGUCACCUAAGUUUUAGUUCCCAUUCUUUUCCAUCCUCCUCCUUUUUUCCAUCCCUGUACUCUCCAGACUUCCCUCUGGAUCAACUAUGCAAUUUCUGUAUGUUAAUGUAACAACAUAUACUCCUUCUGCAAAUAUUAAUAGAUGUAUGUCAUAGUGUUCUAAAUUUGUUAUCUUUACCCCUGGGGGCAAGAAUUCGUUUUCUUUUUAACUGGCAAGUCAUACUUUGGUACUAUAGGAAGCCCUCAAGCCUCUGUGACCAGAGGUUAGCAUAGGGAAAUUGAGACAUUUUAAAACGUUUUUCAUAUUAAGGUAUGAAGAAAACUGACCUUCAUUGUACUUUGGUAGUAGACCGCUUCCUAAUUCAUUCCUUUAGGUCCAAGUAGCCUUCUCUGAAAUUAAAAACAAAACAAAACAUAUUGAAAAAGAUUGUAGGGUGAAGUUAUAUGCCAUCAAAAUGAUGAUGACAUACAGGUAUUUUUGUGUAUCUCUGUCUUUUUUGACAACCAAUCAAAUUGAAUUUUUUUUUUUUUUGCCAGUUAAAUAGAAACUGGUGGCCAGGUGUAAUGGCUUAUGCCUGUAAAUCCCAGCACUUUGGCAGGGGCCAAGAAGGAUGGAUUGCUUAGCUUAAGAGUUCAAGACCAGCCUGUGCAACAUGGUGAGACCCUGUCUCUACAAAAAAUACAAAAAUUAGCUAGGUGCAGUGGCGUAAGCCUGUAGUCCCAGCCACUCCAGAGGCUGAAGUGAAAGGAUUUCUUAAGCCCCAGAGGUCAAGACUGCAGUGAGCCAUGUUCCUGCUAUUGCACUCCAGCCUAGGUAACAAAGCAAGACCGUUUCUCAAAAAAUAUAUAAGUAAAUAAAUAGAAACUAUCAAAUUAUUUUCAAGGAUAAGGAAGGACUAAUCAGUAGUUUAGUCAGAGGCCUAGAUCAAAACAUAACAUGUAUUUUUAAAUUAAUCUCUUUAAAUGCAUGGUUAAGUUACCUGUAUAUGUGCUCAGUAAAAUCGGUCAUUUGUGGGGAAAAAAAUGGCUAUUUGGUUUUCUAUGCAUAAAAUUAAGAUAGAAGUCUUUUUCCUCCUAACAGCCUUCAUCAUAGUGGAUUUAAAAAAACCAGUGUCACUUAGGCUGUGUCUUAUUUGUUUCUAAAACAAUGGAACAAGUCAGAUGUUUGUGGAAUACAUUUUAUAUUUGCAAAUAAAGUAAAAAUUUUUUCUUGCCUUUUUUAUGAAAUAACUAUAAUUUGUGUGAAGAUUAAAAUACUCUAAAACAUGAAUUGACAAAGCAAAAUGAAGGAGCCAGAUUUCAAAAUCAAGUUGUGGGGUGAGGCAUGAGGAUGGGAAGAAGAGAAUUAAGCAUUGAUAUAUGGAGUUUUAAUUUAUUUCCUUAAAAUUCAUAGUGAAAAGAAUAAGAUUUUGGGGGGGAGGGCACGGAAUCUCACUCUGUCUCCCACGCUGGAGUACAGUGGUGCAAUCUCGGCUCACAGUAACCUCAGCCUCCUGAGUAGCUGUAACUACAGGUGCCUGCAACCACACCUGGCUAAUUUUUUAUUUUUAGUAGAGACAGGGUUUCACCAUGUUGGCCAGGCUGGUGUGGAACUCCUGACCUCAGGUGAUCCGCCCACCUCGGCCUCCCAAAGUGCUGGGAUUACAGGCGUGAACCACCGCACCUGGCCAAAAUUUGGUACUUUAUAACUCAAUAAUUGCAACCAGACCAGCUAACUUUUUGAAAACUUGGGGCUCUGUAAUGUUCAGAUGAAGGUAAAUGUAGGGAAUAGACCCUCUUUAGAUUGAGGGAGUAGGAGUUUUGACAUCACAGGUCGUUUGGACUUAAAGGUAUGAAUUUGAAAGUAGUUUGGUUAUACAUGUCCUUUGCAACCUAGCCUCUCUUUCAUUAGCGGAAUUAAUUUUGGUGGAGGGAUUCAUUCAUAUUGUUAGUAUGUAUCGAGGGAGGCAUUGUAUACCAGAAGGCUUUGAACUGGUUGGGAGAAGUGUUCUUAUAAGAACAGGGUAAUUAUUAAUCAUAAUAAUCUUUGUCAAGGUGCCUAAGUAACUCCCUUAUGUAAUAGCAGCCAGUGAUUAGAUAGCUUCACAUCAAGCAGGUUGGAUUUGUUCCUUUUGAAUCAAAGAACCCUUUGCUUCAUAAUCUAGGUCUUGUGUCUCACCGAAUCCUUUAUAAUAUAGAAUAAAUGGUUGAAAGGAAAGGCUCACAUUCUGUAUUCCUGAAAUUCAAAUAGGAUAACUUUCUCAAAGUUUUAGGAUAGACCAAAUAAUGUAUGUCCAUGUAGCUCUAAGAUAUGAGUCAACAAAGCAAAAUAAUUAUGAAACUCUUGUGGGAUUUUUGGUAGAGUUUUUAUGGAGAUCCAGUGUAUAUGAGAAGCAAACUAAAGAGAGUUGCCAAGGGUUUUAGAGCCAGUCAAAUUCCUAGACUUUAGGAUUUGUUGAAUGAAUUGAAUGGAAACCAGUAUAGUUGUCAGUUUUAAGUUCACUCAGUAUUAGCAUUCAAUUAGAUACUGAGUUUUAAAAUAGUUUUUUUUUUUUUUUUUUUUGAGACAGAGUCUCACUCUGUUACCCAGACUGGAGUGCAAUGUUGCGAUCUUGGCUCACUGCAACCUCUGCCUCCAAGUUCAAGCAGUUCUUGCCUCAGCCUCCCAAGUAGCUGGGAUUAUAGGCGCCCACCACCAUGCCCGGCUAAUUUUUUACUUUUAGCAGAGACAGGGUUUCACCAUGUUGGCCAGGCUGGUCUCGAACUCCUGACCUCAGGUGACCCACCUGCCUCAGCCUCCCAAAGUGCUGGGAUUACAGGUGUGAGCCACGAAGCACAGCCUAAAAUGGAUCUUUUAAUACCAAAUAAGGACAUUGUCUUAUGAUUUAAAAAGUGUCUUUUUAAAACCUGGCUACAUUGUUCUUAUUCUCACUUUGCUAUAGAAUAAUGAAAAGUUAUCCAACAUUCAUUUUGGAAUAUUGUUUUGGAAUAAUUCAUGUAUCUCGGCUGUCUGAUUUUACCAACAUGGAAAGCAUAACUCAAAGACAAUUCUUUAAUCAGUUUUUAAAAUGAAACUACUUUUCUCAGCUGUUAAAAAAAUAGAUUUAUAAUAAUAGUCAUCAGCAUUCUUUUAAAUUGUGACAAGUUAGUCUUAGAAGGAUACAAAAAUGUAUAAAAGACUUGUGAAUUUCUGACAAAUUUAAAUUAGGAUAUGUCCAUAAAUAGCAAUUAAAAUUGUUUCCAAAGAGUUAUUUCAAAGCAUCACAUAUUACAAAAAAAUGGUGAAAAUAUAAAUAUAGGUCACAAUUUAUAGGACUUUUGUAUAUUGUGUAUGUUUCCAUAGAAAUAGGUAAAGGAAAUAAUGGUUUCUUUUUGGGUUAUAGGCUUACAGAUGGAUUUUCUAUAGCAGGCGUAUGUUACCAAAAAAAUGGGAAUGGGCUGAUGCUUGGAUAUUAACUUAAAAAUGG